UAAACACAGGUGUUUAAAUGGGAAAUAAAUGUCCUAAGUAAACCUAGUUUCCAGAGCUACAAUGUUUUCCUUUAUAUUGUUAUUACACUGUCAUUUGCGCAAGCAGAAGAGAUAUCAUUAAGAGUGAGGAACAAAAAUUAGGUGACGAAAAUGCUAGAAGAAGCCACAGGCUCUGGGAGCGACAGGAAUAUAAAAUACAUUGCUGCCCAAAGAAGCUGGUGGUGCACUACGAGCACAGUAAGUAAAGCAUGAACAGAAAGAAGGACACAGCACUGCAUGCACCUUAGUGCCACAUGCAGAUGGACGUACCAUGGAGCCUGGGGUGAUGACCGCACAAUGGUAGUGAGUGCAGAUGAAUGCACCGUGGUGGCAUGUCCAGGUGAAUGCACUGUGGUGGUGUGUGCAUAUGAAUGCCCCAUGGUGGCAUGUGCAGAUGAACACACCAUGGUGACAUUUGCAGAUGAAUGCACUGUGGUGGCUUGUGCAGGUGAAUGCAUCAGGGAACAGAGUAGAAAGAAAGGAGACAGUGAUGUAGGUAUUAAAGAACAUCAUGCCAGAGAUGGUAUCACAUGUAAUGCUGGUGGGAGCACUUCAGGUGGAACUGGGCAAGGUGGUGUCUACACCCUUUCUGUUGAUAUGCCAAGAAGUGCCAUUAGUCACUAAUCCUCAGCUACCUUUCAUUCACCUUCCUGAGACAUGCAUGAGGGUGUAUAUGUACAACUAAAAGAAGUCAGAAACAGAAUGUAUAGCCUUUUAAUGUAUAUUUAUACCUGUAUUUCUGUGUGUGUCUCUGUGUAUGUGGAACAUAUAUGUGGGUAUGCCUGUGGAGGAAACACUCUGUCAGAUACUCUGGAACUGGAGUGUCAGAUAAUAGUAACCACCUACAAAUGCACUAUCAGGAUCACUCUGUUCACACAGUCAGUCCUUAGCUUGGUCCUCACUGGUCACUAACUUCUGCUCCCAGAACUCUCUCUACACUACACUGGACUCUGCAGCUCUGGAAACCCCCAUUCCAUAGUCAAGUGCCUCCUGGGGGUCCUCUGUCUUGGGGCUGUGGGGCAGAAAGUUCUCAGGUAUAGAUAUGUCCUGAACUCGAUCAUAGUGGAAGGGGUCUACCAUGAAAGCCCUGUCAUUUGUAGCCAGAACAGAGCAUGGGCCCUUCACAGAGCAUAGGCCAGGUGGAGAUCCCUAUGUGGAAAGUGAGUGUCAGCAUGAAAGAAUGUACAAGUUCUGCGAGAGAAUACUGACAGGAGCAUCACCUGGCCUUCAGAAACUAAGGAAGACUGGACUACACUUCAGUGGGUUGGGCUACAGGUCAGAAAGUGAGUGGAACUGCUCUUUGGGUCAAUAAUCUAGCACAGUUGAGGCAAUCGUCAUUAUCAGUACUGUAAGUACUAAAAUGCUCUAAUUGAAGAAACACGGGUCCUCUACCAAGAAACUGUAGUUAUUCAGGACCCCUGGGAAACCUGUUACUAUAAUUUUGCUAAAUGAAUGUAUUAUGAACUGUCUUCUAAACUCAUACAUCUCUACCCAUAGGGAAAGGAGCUCUCAGACCGUAUCAGAGAAGUUGUUUUGUACAGUGAUUUGUGGCUAAUGCAGAAACUACCAUCAGGUUAGACUGCACAAAUCGUCCAUUGCUGUUGGGAUUGCAAGCUUGUACAACCACUCUGGAAAUCAGUCGAGCGGUUCAUCACAAAAUUGGAAUUGUACUACUGGAGGAUCCUGCCAUACCUCUCCUGGGUAUAUAUCCAGAAGAUGUUCCAACUGGUAAGAAGGACACAUGCUCCACUAUGUUCAUAGCAGCCUUAUUUAUAAUAGCCAGAA
rnacentral:lncRNA from 1 species